UCUCUCUCUCUUUGUGAUCCUCCCCUUUUCUCUCUGAACCCUUUUAUUAACCACAAAUUUGUUUUAAGCUUUGAAGCUCUGAAUCCAUAACCCAUGGCUAAUUGAGAAAGGUGAAGGAUGGGACACAAACCCUAACGCAAAAACACGAAACCGCACUGAUUCCAUCACCAACUUCGAAAGCGAAGCCGUUGCAAGUUGGAAAGGGCUUAUUAUGAUGGACUGCUCAAUCGCCUCCGUAAACACGCAUUAACACCGCGUGACUCUAACCAAACUGUUAGAAAAUUUAUAGGCUGAAAAGUUUUUGUCAGGUUCUAUUUAGCUGCAUAAUUCUAACUUGGAUUAUUGCAUGGUACAUGUUUGUAUUUUUGCUUCAACGAGUCUCUUGCAGGAAAAUUAUACCCUGUCCAUCUACUAAUCCGGGUUGCAUAUCUAUAAAUCCAAAGUCAUUGUCUCCAUACAAAUCCUGUGUUUUUGGGACCAAGAACAGUCAAUUCUUGCAGGGAGUAGCUGUCUUUGUAAUAAUCUGAUAAAAUGAAAGUGAUUCAAUGGGUAGCAAGAACGAAGUUGGUCAGAAAAUGGACAAAGAGUUAUACCAAUCUACUCGCACCUGGCAGAAAAAGAGUUAAAAGCGGACAACUCAAAGUUGGGAAGGGUUGCUCUUUCCGCUGCAAUCAUUAACGAUGUUCUGUCAUGGAUGCUUUUGGCUAUAGCUAUUGCUUUGACAGUAUAUGGAAUAAUCUAUGUGGCUUCUAUAAUGGUUGUUUUGUUUUUGUUGCCUUUAAUGAUUUUGUUGUGCUGUUGUUGUAAGACCUAUAAUCAUGGGAUAAUAAGGAAAACACCAAAAGUCAAAAAUCGUAUGGUGAUUUCUAC